GUUUGGUGUUUGAAAAAACUGGAAACUACGACAAAGCUAUAGAGGUUUACAAAAAAGCCCUGGAAAUUCGAAUACAAUUGUUAGGUCCAAAUCAUGUUGAUGUUGCUGUUUCUUUUAAACAAUCUUGGUUUGGUGUUUGAAAAA